GAAGAGCCUACGCCUAUCAGUGGGUUUUCAGAAAACCGAAAGUGUCAUCCCGUCUCAGGAACACUGCCAGUAUAUCCACGUGCAAAGCCUCAAAGACAUAAACAAAGAACUUUCCUUAAGCAGCUGUUGAAGCCCAUUUACUGAGGGGGACACAAGUACAAGAUCGUCUGCACAGAUUAUGAGAUUUACAAUUGUCUCAUCGAGUACGCAACCGAGUUCAGAAUCCCGGAUAACCCAUCCAUAUACACCGAGAAGAAAUAUGGUGACAACAGUGACCCAUGCCUAACCCCACAUUAAAUUAUCUGAAGAGUUUUUCUCCUCAUCUGACACUCAUUUUUUGACUGGAGUACCAAAAUUGAAGGAGCUGUAGCACAUACACCGGGAUCCCUCUCUUCCGCAACAUUUCAAAGAGACGAGUACAUACCGGCCUCUAGUCGCUUGGAAAUCAAGGAGGCAAGUGCAAUGGGACGAUAGUUUCUAGAGUUACUGAUGCCACCGUUCUUAUCUUCAAUUAAGGGAGACUAUUUUCAUCAGGUCUUUUGGAAGGAACGAGUGGCUAAAGCAGUAUGUAAACUAUGUACUUAACAUCAAGUGUAAGACAGCAUGCGUCUGGCGGUGAUGAGGGGGCGUGACCCCAUCGUGGACCAGGCUACUCGUCGUGUUCAUGCCCCUUAUGGCUCUGGCCACCUCUUGUUCUGACACGGCAGGAGGGUGCACUAUGUACUCACGUGAGUAUCUCGCCAUGAUGUCUGCACCAUAACUCGCAACUUCCAGCUCCCCCAUUUGCACCAUCAAUA